GCUUCACACGUAUCCUGUGCCACCUUGUCACCGGUCUGGCCAUGCUGCAGGCACGUGUAGUCUCUUGAUUGCUUAACAAUUCAGCAACCAUGGCAGGAAGAAUUUCCUUUGUGUUGCCUUGCCCAGAAACUGAAGAAUAGGUGGGCAUGGAGCUCAUCCCUGGCUGAUGAUGCAGUUGACCUGAGAACAAGGCUGUGCAGGAACCACCCCAGGGGCUGCAGAGUCAGCCGCACACAGAAUACUGCAUGACUAGGGUCUGUCGACUGGUUCAGUGUCUGGGUUCGAUUCCCGGCUCGGUCCACAUGUGGAUUGGGUUUUCAGUCCCUACCCGAUUCCGUUGGUUUUACCCGGAAUAUUCCUCUGGGGUUUUCUUCCCACCUCUAAACCUGUUAGUGCUUCUCAUUGUCUCCUCUACAGGUUUCUUCAUGUACAGUGCCUUGCGCAUUUUUGAGGUGUCUAUUACCAGAAAUAGUUACAAAUGAAAAUAAUAAUAACAAUUAAAGAUGACCAGUCCGGUUUGCAACUCCGGGUGGAAUAGGAGAGAAAAUUGCUACAGAACUGAACCACUGGAAUUUCAUUUUAGAAGAGUUCCAUACGGAUUUUAGGAUUUCAUCUGCAUUACUCUUGUAUUUUAUGAAAUGAUUGAUUCUCAGAUAUUAAACAAGCGAAAAUGAAAAGUUCAAAGAACUUGCUUCAUAGUUUUAUUUGAGUUAGGAAGUGAGUGGAACAUCUAAAAGUUGCUUUGUCUUCAACUCAUAACAGUCGCCUCGUUUUUCUUAUGCUCUGUCGAUACAGAGUACAAGAUGUAUACAUGUAGGUCUACCUUGAUGGAGCCAAUCCAAUUGGCCUCUCCAGCAACCACCCCUUUUGUGACUACCAGGAUGUUAACCUCUGUGACAUCAAGGAGCUCCAUCCAACACUGAUGCCUGACAGUAAUGCGACAUGACUGAGUAUCCUGACUUGUCAUCCUCUCUGCCUGCAGUACUAGUGAAUGUCCAGACGCUGACACCACAUGGCUGCUGUUGUAAUCACAACACAUCACUGAAAUAUACACAGCAAGGGUUCUGGAAAAUUUUCGGAAGGGGCAUUGAAAUCUGGGAUUUCGUAUACAGAUCAGUCCGUUGACUAGAGAUGUUUGAAACCAUCCAUCAUUCAGUGGUCUGCCAUCUUGAAGAAUCAAGUUUCUUGAUGAGUGUGGGUAAAAACAUCGGCGAUGCUGAAGCAGUUCCUGUCUGCUGUGGUAUUAUGUGGGAUUUCCCUUAACAAUCCUAGGAAACACAAGCAGCGGGCUACAACACUCAAAGAUUAGUGCAAGCAAAAUAGUGUACAGAUUACCUUGAGAUGGAAAACAUGGUUUAAGGCUUUUGCCUUAUUUGGAACAGUUUUAGGCUUUUUGGAACAGGGAACAGAGGUUUCUUGUUAAAGAUGCACAACUUCUUUUUAUACAAAACCCCAUAUUACACCCCUGCUAUUACGGGUGUAUUGUUGUCUCUAGAGAAAGCAUACUGUAAGUAACUAUCUGAGUAAAUUAAAAUUACAAAGUUAUAGACAAGAUGUGCACUCAAGUGUAGAAAUUUCAAAAAUAUCCAUCAUAUUGUUCAUGCUUGUGCAAAGUAAACUGUGAUAUCAGAACCUUAAAUUAUUGAGGAAACUAGAAAAAUUAAAUUAUGUUGUACCUUUUUACUGCUUUUCAUUUUAUUUCUAAAUUUUUGAGAUUUUAUGCAUAGCUUUUGUCAGAUUGUAGAAGCUUCUUAUUCAAAACAAGCAGGUAUCUGUAAUGUGGCUAAUGCCCAACAUACUCCCAGAAAGUUUAUAGGAAGAUAGAGGCUUACUAUCAACCUUUCUUAUAAAUGUCCUAAAAAGUUCAAACUUUGAAGAAUCUUAAAUAUAGAAAGGCUUGCAAAUAUUUUGGAAACAUAACAUACUGAAGUACAUGCAAGGUCUGAAUAUUUUGUCUAAUCCUUGUCUUUUGGCA